CCUACGGGAGGCAGCAGUGAGGAAUAUUGGUCAAUGGGCUUACGCCUGAACCAGCCAAGUCGCGUGAGGGAAGACUGCCCUAUGGGUUGUAAACCUCUUUUGUCAGGGAGCAACGCCGGCUACGUGUAGCCGGACUGAGAGGACCUGAAGAAAAAGCAUCGGCCAACUCCGUGCCAGCAGCCGCGGUAAUACGGAGGAUGCGAGCGUUAGCCGGAUUUAUGGGGUUUAAAGGGUGCGUAGGCGGAAUGCCAAGUCAGCGGUAAAAUCGCGGGGCUCAACCUCGCUCCGCCGUUGAAACUGGCGUUCUUGAGUGGGCGAGAAGUAUGCGGCAUGCGUGGUGUAGCGGUGAAAUGCAUAGAUAUCACGCAGAACUCCGAUUGCGAAGGCAGCAUACCGGCGCCCAACUGACGCUGACGCACGAAAGCGUGGGUAUCGAACAGGAUUAGAUACCCCUGUAGUC
rnacentral:rRNA from 1 species